rnacentral:rRNA from 1 species
CCUACGGGUGGCAGCAGUGAGGAAUAUUGGUCAAUGGGCGUAAGCCUGAACCAGCCAAGUCGCGUGAGGGAUGAAGGUUCUAUGGAUCGUAAACCUCUUUUAUAAGGGAAUAAAGUGCGGGACGUGACCCGUUUUGUAUGUACCUUAUGAAUAAGGAUCGGCUAACUCCGUGCCAGCAGCCGCGGUAAUACGGAGGAUCCGAGCGUUAUCCGGAAUCAGUGGGCGUAAAGGGGGAGCAGGCGGCCUGGAGGGUCUAUUGUUAAAAGGCAAUGGCUAAACCAAUGUAAGGCGUAGAAACCGGCAGGCUAGAGUUCUAAAGAGGUACGUGGAAUUCCAUGUGUAGCGGUGAAAUGCGUAGAUAUAUGGAGGAACACCAGUGGCGAAGGCGACGAUCUGGGAAGAAACAGACGCUGAGUCCCGAAAGCGUGGGGAGCAAAUAGGAUUAGAUACCCGAGUAGUC